AUUGAACGCUGGCGGCAUGCCUUACACAUGCAAGUCGAACGGCAGCACGGGUGCUUGCACCUGGUGGCGAGUGGCGAACGGGUGAGUAAUACAUCGGAACGUACCUUAUCGUGGGGGAUAACGCAGCGAAAGCUGUGCUAAUACCGCAUACGCCCUGAGGGGGAAAGCGGGGGAUCGCAAGACCUCGCGCGAUUAGAGCGGCCGAUGCCUGAUUAGCUAGUUGGUGGGGUAAAAGCCCACCAAGGCGACGAUCAGUAGCUGGUCUGAGAGGACGAUCAGCCACACUGGGACUGAGACACGGCCCAGACUCCUACGGGAGGCAGCAGUGGGGAAUUUUGGACAAUGGGGGCAACCCUGAUCCAGCAAUGCCGCGUGAGUGAAGAAGGCCUUCGGGUUGUAAACUGCUUUUGUACGGAGCGAAAAGGUCCUUUCUAAUACAAGGGGCUCAUGACGGUACCGUAAGAAUAAGCACCGGCUAACUACGUGCCAGCCGCCGCGGUAA
rnacentral:rRNA from 1 species